rnacentral:rRNA from 1 species
AUUGAACGCUGGCGGCAUGCCUUACACAUGCAAGUCGAACGGUAACAGGUUAAGCUGACGAGUGGCGAACGGGUGAGUAAUGUAUCGGAACGUGCCCAGUCGUGGGGGAUAACUGCUCGAAAGAGCAGCUAAUACCGCAUACGACCUGAGGGUGAAAGCGGGGGAUCGCAAGACCUCGCGCGAUUGGAGCGGCCGAUAUCAGAUUAGGUAGUUGGUGAGGUAAAGGCUCACCAAGCCGACGAUCUGUAGCUGGUCUGAGAGGACGACCAGCCACACUGGGACUGAGACACGGCCCAGACUCCUACGGGAGGCAGCAGUGGGGAAUUUUGGACAAUGGGCGCAAGCCUGAUCCAGCCAUGCCGCGCGCGGGAAGAAGGCCUUCGGGUUGUAAACCGCUUUUGUCAGGGAAGAAAAGGUUCUGGCUAAUACCUGGGACUCAUGACGGUACCUGAAGAAUAAGCACCGGCUAACUACGUG